rnacentral:rRNA from 1 species
AUUGAACGCUGGCGGAAUGCUUUACACAUGCAAGUCGAGCGGCAGCGCGGGGCAACCUGGCGGCGAGCGGCGAACGGGUGAGUAAUGUAUCGGAACGUGUCCUGUCGUGGGGGAUAGCCCGGUGAAAACCGGAUUAAUACCGCAUACGAUCGGGAGAUGAAAGUGGGGGACCGCAAGGCCUCACGUCGAUGGGUUGGCCGAUGCCCGAUUAGCUAGUUGGUGAGGUAAUGGCUCACCAAGGCGAUGAUCGGUAGCUGGUCUGAGAGGAUGAUCAGCCACACUGGGACUGAGACACGGCCCAGACUCCUACGGGAGGCAGCAGUGGGGAAUUUUGGACAAUGGGGGCAACCCUGAUCCAGCCAUUCCGCGUGAGUGAAGAAGGCCUUCGGGUUGUAAAGCUCUUUUGUCCGGAGCGAAACGGGGCGCGUGAAUAUCGCGCUCUACUGACGGUACCGGAAGAAUAAGCACCGGCUAACUACGUGCCAGCCGCCGCAGUAA